rnacentral:rRNA from 1 species
GACGAACGCUGGCGGCGUGCUUAACACAUGCAAGUCGAACGGAAAGGCCCUGCUUUUGUGGGGUGCUCGAGUGGCGAACGGGUGAGUAACACGUGAGUAACCUGCCCUUGACUUUGGGAUAACUUCAGGAAACUGGGGCUAAUACCGGAUAGGAGCUCCUGCUGCAUGGUGGGGGUUGGAAAGUUUCGGCGGUUGGGGAUGGACUCGCGGCUUAUCAGCUUGUUGGUGGGGUAGUGGCUUACCAAGGCUUUGACGGGUAGCCGGCCUGAGAGGGUGACCGGCCACAUGGGGACUGAGAUACGGCCCAGACUCCUACGGGAGGCAGCAGUGGGGAAUAUUGCACAAUGGGCGGAAGCCUGAUGCAGCAACGCCGCGUGCGGGAUGACGGCCUUCGGGUUGUAAACCGCUUUCGCCUGUGACGAAGCGUGAGUGACGGUAAUGGGGAAAGAAGCACCGGCUAACUACGG